GGUUAAAAGGCUUAAAUAAAGAUAAAACGUAUGCCUAAAUAUAUCCAAUAAGACCACGAAUUGUGCCCUCGAAACCGCAACUGAUUCGAUUGUUCCCAAUAUCAACAGACGAAGUCCUCAAAUAUUUUCAAAGGAUUAAAACUCGCUCAAUAUAAGGCGUUCGUAAAAGUUUCUCUUCAUACAAAACUUGCCUACGGCGGUUUACGUACAUACGUGUACAUGUACAACGCAAACAAGACGAAAAAUAAACUUGUUAAUUAAAAAAACUAAAAAAAUUGGGACAAUAGUUUAGAUUAUUAUUGUAAAAGUUGUCCGUUUGUUAAUCAUCACGAAAAUAUAUUAUUUAGGCUGAUUUGUUUCAUGCACUCAGCUAUUGCACAUGUAUACCUAUGGAAAAUCCUAGUUUAUACUUUCUGAAGUUGGUAUGUACCUAUUUAAAAGAAGUUUUAAGUCGCUUUACCUGUUUGUUCAAUAAAUUAAAAUAAUUUAUUCAGUGUGCAUAAUUUUAGAAAAAUAUUUUAACAUUUAAAUCAUACCUUCUUUUAUCCAGAAACAAUAUAACUCCAUAUUACUCACAUGAGUGGAAGUUGUUAAGUUUCCAUUGUCAAGGUAUCUUUGAUUAAUAUUUUGAGUACCUGAAAUUGUGUCAGUUCCUGACAAGUCUUGAAUAGACUAAUGUGAAAGUUAAUAAAAUUUCUUAACAGCAUUCUCCUGAUAUCUAAAUGACUUUUUUAAAUAUCUACAUAUAAAAUAUGAUCUAGCCAAUACAUAUACCUGUAUAAAAACAGUAGUUUGAGCAAAACCUUACCAAGCUAGCAUGUAAGAGUGGUCUCAGAGAUAUUGGAAUAUCUCUGUACUAUAAAUUAGGCAAAUUGCUUUAGACUAAGUUUUAUGUGUAACUACUACUAUAAGAAUACAUUUUGAAACUUGGAAUGGAAACUUUAAACUUGAAAUUACAAAUUUUCAAACAGAUCUGUUUUAUGCUUAAGAUGCAAUAAGUGACUAGGUACAAAGUAUUCUGAUGCUUGGAGUGGACCAGUAACAUUGGUAACUUAAUGAUAUUUUUUCAAUGAAUGGCCUGAAUUAAGUGUAAGUAAGCUAAAGUGACCCGUAUCUUAAUUGCCUUGAAAUUAAAUGAACACCAAAAUAUC